rnacentral:pre_miRNA from 1 species
UCUUAUGGAUGAGCAAAGAAAGUGGAUUCUUGAGAUGGAAUCUACUCCUGGUGAAGAUGCUGUGAA